rnacentral:misc_RNA from 1 species
AAUCCUUUAGUUCAUUGAUGAUGAUAGAAAACUCUACCCAAACAAAAAGAAAAAUGUAAGGUUUGGUACAAUACCAUCUAAUAUUGGGAGUACGACAAACAAAAGUAAAUAAAUAUGGUAACACUUAUUACAAUGAAUGUAGAGAAUGAGCUAUCAGUUAUAAUUAUCAGAUAAUCGAUUUGUCUGAAAGAAUAGGAAGCCAUGCAAAACAAUGAGCUAAAUAGCAAAAUAAACAAAAAGUAGCUAAUAACUCUCAAAAUCAUGUUAAAUUAAAUAUAUAUAAAUCAUAAAUGGUAAGGUUGCUGGAAUUAUUGCCUGUGCAAAACUACAUGUAUUUAUAUAUUUGGUAACACAUACAUGGCCAUAAUGCAGAAACAGAAUGAUGGCAUUGGGAAAUGUAACUCGACAAAAACCCAUAGAAAAAUAAGAACAUGGCGCUGAGCAAAAC